rnacentral:rRNA from 1 species
AAUCCAUAGGUUAAUGAGGCGAACCGGGGGAACUGAAACAUCUAAGUACCCCGAGGAAAAGAAAUCAACCGAGAUUCCCCCAGUAGCGGCGAGCGAACGGGGAGGAGCCCAGAGCCUGAAUCAGCAUGUGUGUUAGUGGAAGCGUCUGGAAAGGCGCGCGAUACAGGGUGACAGCCCCGUACACAAAAGCGCAUGUGCUGUGAGCUCGAUGAGUAGGGCGGGACACGUGGUAUCCUGUCUGAAUAUGGGGGGACCAUCCUCCAAGGCUAAAUACUCCUGACUGACCGAUAGUGAACCAGUACCGUGAGGGAAAGGCGAAAAGAACCCCGGCGAGGGGAGUGAAAAAGAACCUGAAACCGUGUACGUACAAGCAGUGGGAGCACAGGUUUACCUGUGUGACUGCGUACCUUUUGUAUAAUGGGUCAGCGACUUAUAUUCUGUAGCAAGGUUAACCGUAUAGGGGAGCCGCAGGGAAACCGAGUCUUAACCGGGCGUUAAGUUGCAGGGUAUAGACCCGAAACCCGGUGAUCUAGCCAUGGGCAGGUUGAAGGUUGGGUAACACUAACUGGAGGACCGAACCGACUAAUGUUGAAAAAUUAGCGGAUGACCUGUGGCUGGGGGUGAAAGGCCAAUCAAACCGGGAGAUAGCUGGUUCUCCCCGAAAGCUAUUUAGGUAGCGCCUCGUGAAUUCAUCUCCGGGGGUAGAGCACUGUUUCGGCUAGGGGGCCAUCCCGGCUUACCAACCCGAUGCAAACUGCGAAUACCGGAGAAUGUUAUCACGGGAGACACACGGCGGGUGCUAACGUCCGUCGUGAAGAGGGAAACAACCCAGACCGCCAGCUAAGGUCCCAAAGUCAUGGUUAAGUGGGAAACGAUGUGGGAAGGCCCAGACAGCCAGGAUGUUGGCUUAGAAGCAGCCAUCAUUUAAAGAAAGCGUAAUAGCUCACUGGUCGAGUCGGCCUGCGCGGAAGAUGUAACGGGGCUAAACCAU